UUGUAGUGCACGGCGGAUAUCAUGCUGGCAAAUUUUGUGGUUUAGUUUUUCGUAAAAGUUCGUUUCUUAUUUAAAGAAACCAAAAAUAGAAUUUAAUUAGCAAGCACAUAAAAAUAGGCAGAUUUUCAAAAAUGUCUGCCGGGUGUUCACAUUCGCGUCAGCGCCAGUUCCUGCGUUAUGGGGGUAGCCUGCAGGAGUUGCGUGAGCAGUUGCAUCAAGAAAUCGAAAACAAAGCGAAAAGUUGUUCAAAUCCCACUUACGAAUGCUCAGUGCCGCGUGUUGAUGGAUAUGAAUUUUGCAUGCGCCACAUUUUACGCGACCCGUGUGGCAAUUUCCGCCAAUGCACCCAUAUCUAUCCGAACGGGCGAAAGUGCACCAACGCACUGCAGAAGCAUGAUAUCAAAAAGGAUCCUGCUUUGACCACACUUUGCUUCGAACAUAAUCGCAAAGCGCAACUACAGAAAACACAUGCAACUGUUGGCAAAUUGAAGCGCACAGAUACCAAUGAGGUGCUCUUGAAUAGCUUAGCUCACCAUAUUAAUGUGGAAGAUGUCCAACCAGAACAAAAUGUGGGUGAGCAAGAUGAGGAAAUUGACGUAGUAUCACCUCAUGUGACACCAUUUGUUGCACACGAUCAGGUGAAUAGCCUUAGUGCAGUUGUAUCGAGUCUGCAAAAGAGACGUCGCAUCUUGGAUUACGCUUCAGAUAGCUCAAGUAAUGAUGACGAACCACCCAGCAUCAAUAACACGGCACGAGGUUUUGAUUUCAUUGAAUCAGACGAUGAGAGCGUAGAUUCGCAAGCCGAGGAUUUGCUAAAGCACGCUGGAAUUUAUACGCGUGAAGAGGCUUUACGUAUCUCCGAGGCAAAGCUGACAAAACUGCAGGGCUUGUACAUUGACCAAAUAAAUCGCUUACAUCACACACUUAAAGAACGACGACGUCGCUAUUUACUUGCCUUGCGCAAGGAGCGCGAAAUGCUGUGCAGCAUUCAUGAUCAGCCAAAGGAUACGCCGCGCGAACGUAAGCUCUAUGACCAGCUUAAAGCACUGAACACAUACCAUCGUCGUUAUGGCGUUGAGGCUGUGCUCUAUAAGAAAUUCAAAGAAAAGCGUUCGCGUGCCACAGAGGGCUAUGGACACAAAGGUCCGGGUUAUACCAAAUGUGUCUUCACCGAGGGCGGUGUUAAGUGCGGCGAACGCGCUAUGCCUUGCUGCAAAUUCUGUCGCAAACAUAUUUUGGAAGAUAAAAAACAGAUACUUUUCCGUGCCUGUGAGGUGGAGAAGAGCGGCGUUGUGUGCCAGGAACCCAUACCGUGCAUCUUUGACGAUGCAUCGACUUGUGUCUUGCAUAUGUCCAUACCGCCCCGUCGCCAAUAUAUACAAAAGGUGUGUGCGUCGUGAUCAAAAGCUAAUUUUUAGCGCUACUAACUCUUGUGAGCUACUUAUUCGCAUAUUGCAAUGCCAAAGUCAAUUAGUUCGGCAUUUUAUUUUGAAUUAUUGUUGAAAAUGUUCAAAAGCUUAUAUAUUACUUGAUUUUCGAGAUUUAUUUGCAAGUUUCCUGCUUUAGCUUUGUUCGUAUAUAAAUUCGAAUGGAUUGAAUUUUUAGUUAAACGCACAAAUUUAUUUGAAUGCCGUUGCAUUAUGUUUUCUUACUAUCUUCAUUAGAUUUUAUUUAGAUUGCAACUGUUUCACAGUUUCUUUGGUUCAAUUAGUGAAAACUUCAGUUUUUGUUGUAAUCGUAAAUACACAUACAUACGUUCUCCUCCAUCUUACAGGAUUACCCUAAAUAUGCUCCAAUCUCAGACGGAGCGCAAUACAGGGAGAGGGUAAUUUAAGACUGUGACAUUGUGAAAGCAAAACAAACAAAUGCACUAUUAUUGUAUAAUUAAAUGAAAUUACUAUUGAAAUAACUGUGAUUAUUGCUUAUACUAUGUCAAAUGUACUGUAAUAUUCCUGUAUGUGUGUAAUGUGCGAAAAUCAAGUCAAAUUUAGGUACUAAUGUAAACGAAAAAAGAAAAGAUUUCACAACCACUUAAUGGAACUUAAUCGCUAAAAGUUCGAAUCUGAAACCGAGGAAGAUGAAGCGAAAGACAGUCUGGACGAUAAAACGGCGACGGAAGAGAGUUCAAAAUCAAUCAAACGGAG